GAGGAGAUAUGGAGAUAUGGAGGAGGUAUGGAGGGGGUACAGAGGAGAUACGGAGGAGAUAUGGAGGAGGUACAGAGGAGAUACGGAGGAGGAGGAGGUAUGGAGGAGGCGGAGGUAUGGAGGAGAUAUGGAGGAGGAGAUAUGGAGGAGGAGGUACGGAGGAGGUAAAGAGAAGAUAUGGAGGAGGAGGUACAGAUGAGGAGGAGGUAUGGAGGAGGUAUGGAGGAGAUACAGAGAAGAUAUGGAGGAGGAGGUACAGAGGAGGUGGUAUGGAGGAGAUAUGGAGGAGGAGGUACGGAGGAGAUAUGGAGGAGAUAUGGAGGAGGAGGUACAGAUGAGGAGGAGGUAUGGAGGAGGUACGGAGGAGAUAUGAGGAGAUAUGGAGGAGGAGGUAUGGAGGAGGUACAGAGGAGAAAUGGAGGCGGAGGUAUGGAGGAGGUACAGAGAAGAUAUGGAGGAGGAGAUAUGGAGGUACAGAGAAGGAGGAGGUAUGGAGGAGGUACAGAGGAGGAGGAGGUAUGGAGGAGGUACGGAGGAGGAGGAGGUAUGGAGGAGGUACAGAGGAGGAGGAGGUGUGGAGGAGGUACGGAGGAGAAAUGGAGGAGGAGGUAUGGAGGAGGUAUGGAGGAGGAGGUACGGAGGAGGUACAGAGGAGGAGGAGGUAUGGAGGAGGAGGUAUGGAGGAGGAGGUAUGGAGGAGGAGGAUGCAUGGAGGAGGUGCAGAGGAGGAGGAGGUAUAGAGGAGGUAUGGAGGAGAAAUGGAGGAGGAGGUACAGAGAAGAUAUGGAGGAGGAGAUAUGGAGGAGUAUGGAGGAGGUACAGAGAAGGAGGAGGUAUGGAGGAGGUACAGAUGAGGAGGAGGUAUGAAGGAGGUAUGGAGGAGGUAUGGAGGAGGUACAGAGAAGAUAUAGAGGAGGAGAUAUGGAGGAGGUAUGGAGGAGAUAUAGAGGAGAUAUAGAGGAGGAGAUAUGGAGGAGGUAUGGAGGAGAUAUAGAGGAGAUAUAGAGGAGGAGGUACGGGGGAGGUAGAGGAGGAGGAGGAAUGGAGGAGAAGAUAUGGAGGAGGAGGUAUGGAGGAGAUAUAGAGGAGGAGGUACGGAGGAGGAGGUACAGAGGAGGAGUUAUGGAGGAGGUAUGGAGGCGAUAUAGAGGAGGAG
rnacentral:lncRNA from 1 species